AUUGAACGCUGGCGGCAGGCCUAACACAUGCCAGUCGAGCGGAUGAAGGGAGCUUGCUCCUGGAUUCAGCGGCGGACGGGUGAGUAAUGCCUAGGAAUCUGCCUGGUAGUGGGGGAUAACGUCCGGAAACGGGCGCUAAUACCGCAUACGUCCUGAGGGAGAAAGUGGGGGAUCUUCGGACCUCACGCUAUCAGAUGAGCCUAGGUCGGAUUAGCUAGUUGGUGGGGUAAAGGCCUACCAAGGCAACGAUCCGUAACUGGUCUGAGAGGAUGAUCAGUCACACUGGAACUGAGACACGGUCCAGACUCCUACGGGAGGCAGCAGUGGGGAAUAUUGGACAAUGGGCGAAAGCCUGAUCCAGCCAUGCCGCGUGUGUGAAGAAGGUCUUCGGAUUGUAAAGCACUUUAAGUUGGGAGGAAGGGCAGUAAGUUAAUACCUUGCUGUUUUGACGUUACCAACAGAAUAAGCACCGGCUAACUUCGUG
rnacentral:rRNA from 1 species